rnacentral:rRNA from 1 species
ACGUGGGCAACCUGCCUAUAAGACUGGGAUAACUUCGGGAAACCGGAGCUAAUACCGGAUACGUUCUUUUCUCGCAUGAGAGAAGAUGGAAAGACGGUUUACGCUGUCACUUAUAGAUGGGCCCGCGGCGCAUUAGCUAGUUGGUGAGGUAAUGGCUCACCAAGGCGACGAUGCGUAGCCGACCUGAGAGGGUGAUCGGCCACACUGGGACUGAGACACGGCCCAGACUCCUACGGGAGGCAGCAGUAGGGAAUCUUCCGCAAUGGACGAAAGUCUGACGGAGCAACGCCGCGUGAACGAAGAAGGCCUUCGGGUCGUAAAGUUCUGUUGUUAGGGAAGAACAAGUACCAGAGUAACUGCUGGUACCUUGACGGUACCUAACCAGAAAGCCACGGCUAACUACGUGCCAGCAGCCGCGGUAAUACGUAGGUGGCAAGCGUUGUCCGGAAUUAUUGGGCGUAAAGCGCGCGCAGGUGGUUCCUUAAGUCUGAUGUGAAAGCCCACGGCUCAACCGUGGAGGGUCAUUGGAAACUGGGGAACUUGAGUGCAGAAGAGGAAAGUGGAAUUCCAAGUGUAGCGGUGAAAUGCGUAGAGAUUUGGAGGAACACCAGUGGCGAAGGCGACUUUCUGGUCUGUAACUGACACUGAGGCGCGAAAGCGUGGG